rnacentral:misc_RNA from 1 species
AAGACGUAACAAGGUUUCCGUAGGUGAACCUGCGGAAGGAUCAUUAACACGUAUGUUUUGAUUCAGAGACCUCUGGCUACGUGAGAACAUUGGAACAGUUACAAUCGAGCGGUAGUUUCAUAGGCAUUGUUUCCCCAAGCAGUCAGUGUCUGAAAGUGUCACUGUAGACCGUACACUCGGGCAGGAGCUAUGCCAAAGGGUCCCCAUGCCCCCUUAUAACCCCACAGUUUAAUGUCAAGCUCAAUGUAAUACAUUGGGUAAAAAAACCGAACAACUGUUAACAAUGGAUAUCUUGGUUCUC